UCUUUCUGUUUCUAAAGACCUUCUUAUGAAGGUAUGCUUAAAGAGGGGCUUGCGCCACAUUAGUUAGUUGGUAGGGUAAAAGCCUACCAAGACGAUGAUGUGUAGCUGGACUGAGAGGUUGAACAGCCACAUUGGGACUGAGACACGGCCCAAACUCCUACGGGAGGCAGCAGUAGGGAAUUUUCGGCAAUGGAGGAAACUCUGACCGAGCAACGCCGCGUGAACGAUGAAGUAUUUCGGUAUGUAAAGUUCUUUUAUUGAAGAAGAAAAAGUAGUGGAAAAACUAUAUUGACGUUAUUCAAUGAAUAAGCCCCGGCUAACUAUGUGCCAGCAGCCGCGGUAAGACAUAGGGGGCGAGCGUUAUCCGGAAUUAUUGGGCGUAAAGGGUGCGUAGGCUGUUAGAUAAGUCUAUAAUUUAAUUUCAGUGCUUAACGCUGUCUUGUUAUAGAAACUGUCUUGACUAGAGUGAGAUAGAGGCAAGCGGAAUUCCAUGUGUAGCGGUAAAAUGUGUAAAUAUAUGGAGGAACACCAGAAGCGUAGGCGGCUUGCUGGGUCUUUACUGACGCUGAGGCACGAAAGCGUGGGUAGCAAACAGGAUUAGAUACCCUGGUAGUCCACGCCGUAAACGAUGAGUACUAAGUGUCGGGGUAAAACUCGGUACUGAAGUUAACACAUUAAGUACUCCGCCUGAGUAGUACGUACGCAAGUAUGAAACUUAAAGGAAUUGACGGGACUCCGCACAAGCGGUGGAUCAUGUUGUUUAAUUCGAAGAUACACGAAAAAUCUUACCAGGUCUUGACAUACUCUGCAAAGCUAUAGAAAUAUAGUGGAGGUUAUCAGGGAUACAGGUGGUGCAUGGUUGUCGUCAGUUCGUGUCGUGAGAUGUUAGGUUAAGUCCUAAAACGAGCGCAACCCUUGUCGUUAAUUGCCAGCACGUAAUGGUGGGGACUUUAGCGAGACUGCCAAUUAAACAUUGGAGGUAGGUGAGGAUUACGUCAAAUCAUCAUGCCCCUUAUGAUCUGGGCUACAAACGUGAUACAAUGGCUGUGACAAAGAGUAGCAGAAACGCGAGUUUUUAGCCAGUCUCAAAAAAGCAGUCUCAGCUCGGAUUAAAGUCUGUAACUCGACUUCAUGAAGUGGAAUCGCUAGUAAUCGCGAAUCAGCAUGUCGCGGUAA
rnacentral:rRNA from 1 species